AUUGAACGCUGGCGGCAGGCCUAACACAUGCAAGUCGAGCGGAGCGGCGGACGGGUGAGUAAUGCCUACGAAUCUGCCUGGUAGUGGGGGAUAACUUCCGGAAACGGGCGCUAAUCCCGCAUACUAUCAGAUGAGCCUCGGUCGGAUUAGCUAGUUGGUGGGGUAAGGGCCUACCAAGGCGACGAUCCGUAACUGGUCUGAGAGGAGGAUCAGUCACACUGGAACUGAGACACGGUCCAGACUCCUACGGGAGGCAGCAGUGGGGAAUAUUGGACAAUGGGCGAAAGCCUAAUCCAGCCAUGCCGCGUGUGGGAAGAAGGUCUUCGGAUUGUAAAGCACUUUAAGUUGGGAGGCGUUACCAACAGAAUAAGCACCGGUUAACUUCGUGCCAGCAGCCGCGGUAAUUC
rnacentral:rRNA from 1 species